GAUGAACGCUAGCGGCGUGCCUAACACAUGCAAGUCGAACGUGAGAGGGUACUUGUAUCCUUGAAAGUGGCGGACGGGUGAGUAAGACGUAGGUGACCUGCCUCGAAGUGGGGGAUAACCAUUGGAAACGAUGGCUAAUACCGCAUAAGCUGGUGACGAUGGGAAUGGUUAUCAGGAAAGCUUUAGUGCUUUGAGAGGGGCCUACGGCCGAUUAGCUAGUUGGUGAGGUAAAGGCUCACCAAGGCGAUGAUCGGUAGCUGGUCUGAGAGGACGAUCAGCCACACGGGAACUGAGACACGGUCCCGACUCCUACGGGGGGCAGCAGUGAGGAAUAUUCGGCAAUGGGGGCAACCCUGACCGAGCAACGCCGCGUGGAGGAUGACGGUUUUCGGAUUGUAAACUCCUUUUCUCAGGGAAGAGCGAGGACGGUACCUGGGGAAUAAGUCACGGCUAACUACGUG
rnacentral:rRNA from 1 species